ensembl:misc_RNA Metazoa_SRP Metazoan signal recognition particle RNA
GCCUGGCGCGGUGGCGCGUGCCUGUAGUCCCAGCUACUCGGGAGGCUGAGGCGGGAGGAUCACUUGAGUCCAGGAGUUCUGGGCUGUAGGGCACUAGGCAGAUCGGGUGUCCGCGUUAAGUUCGGCCGCAAUAUGGUGACCUCCCGGGAGCGGGGGACCACCAGGUUGCCUACGGAGGGGUGAACCCGCCCAGGUUGGAAACGGAGCAGGUCAAAACUCCCGCUGAUCAGUAGUGGGAUCGCGCCUGUGAAUAGGCAUUGCACUCCAGCCUGGGCAACACAGCAAGACCCCAUCUCUU